rnacentral:rRNA from 1 species
CCGGGCCAAGCCCGUGGUUUUUUUGGGAUGGACGCCGGGUCGUCUGGCUCGGCUUGAUAAGGAAAGGGGAAGGGGAAGGGGAGGAGGUGCCGUCGAAGAGGGGGGAGGAGGAGCGGCCGCCGAGGGAGGUGGUCGUGGUGGCCGGGGCGGCGGCGCUACGAGGCCGAGGCGAGGAGGCGGGCGGACGAGGCGUUCGACACGCUCCGCAGGGCCGGCGACCCCGCGCCGCUCCAGGGUUCUCACGGCGGCGACGGCUGCUACUGCGCCGCCGAGAGGCCGCGUCGGAGGCGGCGCGCGAGCUGGAGCGAGGACGUGGGCGACGGCCCCGAGCUGGAGGGCGGGACGGAGGGGCUGGUCGAGGGGGCGGAGGGGUGGGCGCAGUGGUGCGAGGGGUUGCCGCAGGCGCAGCGGAGGCUCCUGCAGGGCCCAGGGUGCCGCACGCACCCCCACAAGCACCGCAGCCCGAGCUAGGUGCUCAGCGGGCUCAGGCGGCCGCAGUGCGUGGACGACCUCUUCGACCGCAAGUUCCUGUGCCGCGUGGCCUCGGUGGCCGUCUAGCACGUCCUCCACCUCCGGUGCCCCCCGUUGUAGCCGCGGAGGCGGAGGUCCCUCGUCUACCAGAUGUCGAUGCUGUGCGAGUUCCGGAUGUAAGGCGUCCGGCAGCUCCACGAGGAGCUGAGGCAGGCGUUGGGCGAGAAGCAGGUCCUGCUUCAGCUGUCCGUCGACCGGGAAUGGGCUCUUCUCCAGGUGCCCCACGUCUUCUUGGGCCUCUUCAAGGAAGUCCUUCAUGAAUUGGAACGACCUAUGCUCCCCCGCGAGCGCUUGGGCGACUAUCGAGGGCUCCUCCGAGAACUCUAGUAGUUACGGCUAUAAUAAGCCUUCAAGAUAGUACUUUUGAAGUGACGACUAGCACACCAAGAUCGUCGCAGUCCACAACUAGUAGUUGUCAACAAUCUACAGCGUCUUGGAAACAACAGACUAACCGUGUUCCCCAGGGGAUACCUUUGUGGUUUCAGAUGCAUGUGUCCACCACUAAAGUCUAUGUUUCGUCUUAGUCUAUACUGUGUACAGCGCAACCGAAAACUUCACGGUCCGCCGACCGAAUUUCUCUCUCUCCGAUGUUAAUACUGGCAGUAUGUCUGGAAUUACCCACCACCGCCGAGUAAGAGGAGACCACCAGGACCUUUUCCCUACGUAAGUGCCGAAAUGGACUCUCAAGAUUGAUUUAUAGUGCCGCAGGUUAGUAAAAGUCGUAAGUCAUUACAUAUACUAUUGUGACCGGACAAACCGUAGAUAAACUGUUGCGGUGGUCUAAAACAAAGUUUCCGACAACAAUAGCGCCACGUCCUUAACUAGCGAUAACGUUGCGGACCUGUUCACUGCCUCCAACUCGACUGUGCACGCUUUUUGAGCUGCUAAAGUAGGCACGAUUACUUAGAACUUAGCUCCCAUUAACAACGUCUUCUAUAUCCCUCCGUCGAAAACUGAAUACCAUCGUCCUUUGGGUAACUAGUAAAAGAAGUCACGUACCUCCUUGACUGGGAUCUACUGCAAUGUCGCAAACGAUUCUACUACAAUAGAAGGGUUGGAUGUUACCGAUCGAUACCUCUACAGUUAUUUCAAGGCGGCAUACUUAAAUAAUCGUACGACGAGGUUGCCAAGGCUAUCGUGGGAUUGUGGUACUAGGGACCACUUCUGCUUCUGUGUCUCGAGAGAAGGUCAAGAGGGAUUAUGAACCGCAACACGAGCCUUAAAAAGAAACAAAAUGAGCACGCACUUGCUCCAAUCAAAACAUAACCGCAUCAAGUUUGUCGCGUACGACUACUUUACAGAACCCAUCUGUCCUUUUGUUAAAAGAACUUCGAACAUACCUUUAAAACGGGACGGUUAGAUAUACCAGAGCAACGGUACAUUUUAAAAGUCAUGCACACGACUCAAAGUACUACUAUUAUAUAUAGUUACCACUGAAAAUACCGGAGUUUAUUCUUAUUACCAAUGACC